AAACGACUCUCCUUAUGAUACAAUCAAUCAAUCAAUUAGAUGCAAUCUGUGCUGAGUCAUUUCCUUGAAAAAAAUAAUGUACUAGUCUCCUCUCCAAAUACUCGAAGUACUCCUCCAUUAUCUAUACAGACCCUGUUCUUCAUUUGAAAUUGUUCAGCUGUUAAUGCUCCCCAUAAUUUGGGUUCACCUUCUCCGGUCCAUAUCAUGGACUUUCAGUGGAUAAUUUAGUGAAGUUAUUUUUCCUUCGCAAGAGAGGUAACUUUUAUAUUCAUGGGGCUUAUAAUUUUGAUAAUUGUUAAUGUAGUCGUCUGUUGUGUGGAGAGUUUCAAAGUUUGAUAUGAUCUCACACUUUUACACUCUAAUUUAAAUUUUUAUUUCAUUGUCACUCUACUUAACAGUACCUAAGUGUUGCUCUAUGUUGAAUUUCUGGUAACUGUACUCUGAAUAUGAAUCCAUCAGGUUAAGAAGGUAACAAUAAACUAAUGUCAAUUAAGAUGAAAAUGACUAAUUAACGCCCGAAUAAGAUACUACAGUAUUCAUCUUCAUAACUAAGUAUAGAGUUGUGACAACAAAUUUUAAGGUUUUGAGCGGAAUCAAUUCUUAAUAUAUCAAUUUGAAUUACACUACAACUAUAUGCUGUCAUGUCAUUUUGCUAAUUUUUGUCAUCAACAUAAUUUUUUUGUGUCAUUUUCUCUACAAUUCUUUUUUCAUUCUUCAUUGUUCUCCUUCGGUAAUCAUUAAUGUGUGAUUUAUGUAUUCAAUUUCAAAUUUCAUCUUCAGUUUAAUAUCAUUAUUGUCUUUUAUUGAUAUUGAUGUAUUCUGUCAAAAGAUUUAGCUUAAUUGGUUAGGUAAAAUGCAGACUUGAGUUAUGAUAAAUUCUCGCACACUAUAUUAUCUUUGACUUUUAUAGAUUAAAAAAAUCAUAUCUUUUAAUUUUUUUUCAUAAAACAAAUAAAUAUUCUACUGCAUUUGAAAAAUUAACAUGAUUUCUUCUCUUUUUUGUCACACAAGGAAAUUAAAGACAGAAAGGAGAAAGCAACAUAUUAGACAUUCACGAUAGAGUGCUGUAAAAGCUACACCAGGAGGGGAAAGCCAAAAACGUGCAGAAGCAGGUUCUCUGUCACCCCUAACCAGCCAAAAUAUAAACCACGGCGCGGUGUUGGCUUCACCAGAAACUUGAGAGAAAACUACAAUCCAUUAUCGCUGGAGUAAAUCCACCAAACCACUCUGGAAGCUCUGGAAAGUUCUGAAACUCUCUUAAGAUUAUUGGAAUGAGUUUCGAGUAAAGUGCUUAUUGAGAGAUUAGAUCCAAGAGAGAAAGUUUCACUGAGUUUGAACAUACAUUAAAGUUUAAAAACAACUAACCAUUUAGAUCAUAGCCUAUAAACCAUGCCACCAUCAAACACUCAUAAAUAACAUAACAUUGACAACCACUUGAAACUAGCUAGGAAACCACCUUUGGAAAGGUCAAAACAGAAAAACAAAAGCAUUAACCAACAUGGUAGCAGUCCUGAACACAAUGGCUGAUCACAAAUUCUGACAAAUAACGUGAAAGAAAUCUAUCUGUUUCUUAGUAUGAAAAGUUUCUUUGCUUUGAAUCUUUCUUCAAUGAUUUCCACGAGGAUUGAGUAGGAAAUUCUCAAAAAUUUGUUUAUUUUGCUGGUAUGAGAAACCAUUUAGAGUGUAGAGUUUCAAGCCAAAAGAUAAGGUGCAUGGUGUAUGUAUAUUGGAAAUUGAUUUUUUAUCACUAAGAUUUAGGUGACUUAAAUGUAAAGUGAAAGAUUGUAUUAUACUAUAUGAACCUUAAUUGAAUGAAUGUAUUGAAAGUUGUUUUUGUUUCAACUUCCAAGAGAACUUAUUUAUUAUAGUUGGUGACAAUCUUCACUAUAAAUAGAGAAGAUGUUUAGUGGAGAAACAACACAUGAAGAAAGAGAGUGUGUGAGAAGAGAGAUUGUGAAACAAAAUCAGAAAAGUGUCUUUGUGCGAGUGUUAUCAUUUAUUGUAACCAUUAAGUGAAGUACUCAAGUUUGUAGCGUGAUACACUAUCUGAGAAGGGUUUGUGAUAGUGAAAUACUUUUGAAACGAUUCCGUGGAUGUAGGCAAGAGAUGUCGAAUCACAUUAAAUUUUUGUGUUUGCUAUUAUUUUUCUUACGGUAUAAUCUUUGUUGUGUUCUCACGAUCAUUUUUUUGAUGUAAGUAAUUUUAUUUGAAAGCGUUGAUUACCCAACCUAGAGACUUCUAAACAUUGUUUUAUUGUGGAUGCUGGCUACAGAGACACAGGAAAUCCUUCAAGAGACACAGGGAUUGGAGGGGCAACAUGAUUUUUGCAAUAUUAGGAUGCAGAUGAUUUACAAAGUUUUUGCGAAGGGCCCCUAGAAAGGAUGUUGAACAAUAAGUGGGUCAUGAUUAUAGUUUCUUGAGAAUGGAACAAAUCAAACAUUGCUUGAUUGUUUUUUUAUUUCACAUGUAGGAUCUUAGAGUUUUCAAGCGGUUUGGAAUUUGUUUUUCAUGUUGGUGGAGUUAAUCAGGAUGUUUUUUCGUAACCUUGGUUAUUAAAUAAACCUGACUUGUGAGUCAAACCUCAUAAAUGUAAGGUAUAUCAAAUUGCAACAAAAUUUUUAUUUCCUGUCUUGAUAAUUUGGAAUUAAUAUUUGAGUCUUCCAUGAAUGUGGAAUUUUUCUAGCAAUAACAGCAUACUCCAUCUAAGACUCAUCGAUCUUAGAGGAGGAAAUUAAGUACAUAACAUGAAAUUAACAUGAAUAUUUAGUUGUUAGAGAU
rnacentral:lncRNA from 1 species